CCAAUAGCGUAUAUUAAAGUUGUUGCAGUUAAAAAGCUCGUAGUUGAAUUUCGGGGUCAGUAGAUUGGUCGUGCCACUGGUAUGUACUGGUCUUACUGAUUCCUCCUUCUUGAUGAGCUGUAAUGUCAUUAAUUUGGUGUUACAGCAAGUCAGGACUGUUACUUUGAAAAAAUUAGAGUGUUUAAAGCAAGCAAACGCUUGAAUACAUUAGCAUGGAAUAAUGAAAUAGGACGUUUGAUCCUAUUUUGUUGGUUUCUAGGAUCGACGUAAUGAUUAAUAGGGAUAGUUGGGGGCAUUAGUAUUCAAUUGUCAGAGGUGAAAUUCUUGGAUUUAUUGAAGACUAACUACUGCGAAAGCAUUUGCCAAGGAUGUUUUCAUUAAUCAAGAACGAAAGUUAGGGGAUCGAAGACGAUCAGAUACCGUCGUAGUCUUAACCAUAAACUAUGCCGACUAGGGAUCGGAUGAUGUUAAUUUUUUAAUGACUCAUUCGGCGCCUUACG
rnacentral:rRNA from 1 species